CCUACGGGAGGCAGCAGUGAGGAAUAUUGGUCAAUGGGCGCGAGCCUGAACCAGCCAAGUAGCGUGAAGGAUGACUGCCCUACGGGUUGUAAACUUCUUUUAUAAAGGAAUAAAGUGAGGCCCGUGUGCCUUUUUGUAUGUCCUUUAUGAAUAAGGAUCGGCUAACUCCGUGCCAGCAGCCGCGGUAAUACGGAGGAUCCGAGCGUUAUCCGGAUUUAUUGGGUUUAAAGGGAGCGUAGAUGGGUUGUUAAGUCAGUUGUGAAAGUGUGCGGCUCAACCGUAAAAUUGCAAUGGAUACUGGCAGCCUUGAGUACAGGUGAGGUAGGCGGAAUGCGUGGUGUAGCGGUGAAAUGCUUAGAUAUCACGAAGAACUCCGAUUGCGAAGGCAGCUUACUAAACGGCCACUGACAUUGAUGCUCGAAAGUGUGGGUAUCAAACAGGAUUAGAUACCCUUGUAGUC
rnacentral:rRNA from 1 species